GUCGGAGUGGCCGAGCGGUUUAAGGCGCCAGACUUAAGAGUGUUAUGGUCCACGGUGUGGGCGUGGGUCCGAAUCCCACCUCCAACA
rnacentral:tRNA from 1 species